CUUUUAAUGUGGCCGGCAGCAGGAGUCAGUAGAUCAAGGCUGAAGUGUGAGGCCACAGAGAGUCGCACACACACACCUCGUGUGGUGGCGGAGGUUGGCUUUGGCCGUGGACGCAGUGGAAAUACAUGUGAUCAAGGCUGGGCGCAGCUUAAAGCUGUGGAAACAGAUCUAUAGCCACACUUAACUUGUUUGCUCUCCUCGCAGGCUGGGACCAACACUCUGAACUUGGCUACGCCCUCCGACUACGACUCUGCCACGCACCACAGCGACUUCUGUGCGACCUUCAGGUCUCCGUCAUCUUCAUCGUUAUCGUCACUACUCACUUUCUUCACAACCUGCAAACAGAGAGUGACGGCAUGUCUGUCACGUCAGGAGACGACCAGCAGAGGAGGAAAAUAUUCCUGACAGCCAAAGUUUCCUGCUGAAAUCACUCUUAACGUGUUAGCGGAGAGAUAAGGAGACCAGUCGUGGUACUUACCCCGGACUCGGUCCAGGCUGAGACUGAAAGCAGGACCAGGAGACUCAGACCGCACUUCAU